UACGUAGGGUGCAAGCGUUAAUCGGAAUUACUGGGCGUAAAGCGUGCGCAGGCGGUUCGCUAAGACCGGUGUGAAAUCCCCGGGCUUAACCUGGGAACUGCAUUGGUGACUGGCGGGCUAGAGUGUGGCAGAGGGGGGUAGAAUUCCACGUGUAGCAGUGAAAUGCGUAGAGAUGUGGAGGAAUACCGAUGGCGAAGGCAGCCCCCUGGGCUAACACUGACGCUCAUGCACGAAAGCGUGGGGAGCAAACAGG
rnacentral:rRNA from 1 species